CGGCGAGUGAAGCGGUAACAGCUCAAAUUUGAAAGCUGCCAACAGGCCGCGUUGUAAUUUGUAGAAGAUGCUUUGGGUGUUGGCCUGGUCUAAGUUCCUUGGAACAGGACGUCAUAGAGGGUGAGAAUCCCGUACGUGACUGGUGCCAGCAUCCGUGUAAAGCUCUUUCGACGAGUCGAGUUGUUUGGGAAUGCAGCUCAAAAUGGGUGGUAAAUUUCAUCUAAAGCUAAAUAUUGGCCAGAGACCGAUAGCGCACAAGUAGAGUGAUCGAAAGAUGAAAAGCACUUUGGAAAGAGAGUUAAACAGUACGUGAAAUUGUUGAAAGGGAAGCGCUUGCAAUCAGACUUGCAGGCGGUCGAUCAUCCGAGGUUCUCCCCGGUGCACUCGAUCGUCUUCAGGCCAGCAUCGGUUUUGGUGGUGGGAUAAAGGCCGUGGGAAUGUGGCUCUUCGGAGUGUUAUAGCCCACGGUGCAAUGUUGCCUACCGGGACCGAGGACCGCGCUUCGGCUAGGAUGCUGGCGUAAUGGUUGUAAGCGAC
rnacentral:rRNA from 1 species